GCGAAGGCUGAAGACCCUAAAGACUUUGAGGUGAAGGGAGGAAGAUUCAAGCAUCACCAUCACCGCCGAAGGUGAGCUUUAUUGUUUGAAUCUCUUUAAAGUUAUGGUUUUUCCGCGUUUAGAGUGAGAGAGAGAGAGGUGCGAAAGUUUGAGAAGAUGAGUGAGAUUGAGAGAUGGAAUGAGGUCGAGAGUGACGAGAUUGAGAGAUGACGGGUGAGAUUGAGGGAGUGAGAACCGUCU
rnacentral:lncRNA from 1 species